GGCGGCGGCGGGGGGACGGCGCGGGGCUCCAUCUUCCUCCGUGCGGCGGAGCCGGCGGGACGGCGGGGCACCAUGGCUGUCGGCAAAACCCCACGUUCUCACGGGUCGGAAAAACGCCCCACGUGCAGCACCCGGUCUCAGCUAGAGCUGGAGAUGGACGCGGAUAAGGGGAAGCAACGCCAGUACUCGCAGAGCGAAGGCGAGACAGAGAGGGCUGCCAAG